rnacentral:rRNA from 1 species
UGGGGAAUAUUGCACAAUGGAGGGAACUCUGAUGCAGCGACGCCGCGUGAGUGAUGAAGGAAUUCGUUUCGUAAAACUCUGUUCUAUGGGAAGAAAAGGACUGUACCAUAGGAGAAAGCUCCGGCUAAAUACGUGCCAGCAGCCGCGGUAAUACGUAUGGAGCGAGCGUUGUCCGGAAUUAUUGGGCGUAAAGGGUGCGCAGGCGGCUUUACAAGUUGGAUGUGAAAUAUUGUGGCUCAACCACAAACGUGCAUCCAAAACUGCAAAGCUUGAGUUAAAGGGAGGGAAGGUGAAUUCCUGGUGUAGCGGUGGAAUGCGUAGAUAUCAGGAGGAAUACCGGUGGCGAAGGCGACUUACUGGACUUAAACUGACGCUCAGGCACGAAAGCGUGGGGAGCAAACAGG